rnacentral:rRNA from 1 species
GACAGGAGGGUGCAAACGUUUGUUCGGAAUUACUGGGCGUAAAGCGAGUGUAGGCGGUCCGAUAAGUCGGGUGUGAAAGCCCUGGGCUCAACCCAGGAAGUGCACUCGAAACUGCCGGGCUAGAGUAUCGGAGAGGUUGGUGGAAUUCUCGGUGUAGAGGUGAAAUUCGUAGAUAUCGAGAGGAACACCGGUGGCGAAGGCGGCCAACUGGACGAAUACUGACGGCUGAGACUCGAAAGCGUGGGGAGCGAACAGG